CGUGUAGGCGGUGAGAAAAGUCAGAUGUGAAAGACUCGAGCUCAACUUGAGAACUGCAUUUGAAACUGUCUGACUAGAGAGCAGUAGAGGGGAGUGGAAUUUCCGGUGUAGCGGUGAAAUGCGUAGAUAUCGGAAGGAACACCAGUGGCGAAGGCGACUCCCUGGGCUGAAUCUGACGCUGAGGCGCGAAAGCAUGGGGAGCAAACAGGAUUAGAUACCCUGGUAGUCC
rnacentral:rRNA from 1 species